rnacentral:rRNA from 1 species
UACGUAGGGUGCAAGCGUUGUCCGGAAUUAUUGGGCGUAAAGAGCUCGUAGGCGGUCUGUCGCGUCGGCUGUGAAAACUCGGGGCUCAACUCCGAGCUUGCAGUCGAUCGGGCAGGCUAGAGUUCGGCAGGGGAGACUGGAAUUCCUGGUGUAGCGGUGAAAUGCGCAGAUAUCAGGAGGAACACCAAUGGCGAAGGCAGCUCGCUGGGACGUGACUGACGCUGAGACGCGAAAGCGUGGGGAGCAAACAGG